rnacentral:lncRNA from 1 species
AGAGUUAGUUCAAUCUCUCUCCCUUAUUGUAGCCUUGAAUAAAGGCUUUGCCUUUCAAACUCUGUCCUGCCCAUUUUUCUUUGACAUGUUCAGAUGUUGGCAAGGCUGAAAACUGCAGGGGAUCUGGUUGUGAUAAUCCAGGUACAUGCCCCAAGGAAAUGAGGCUACAUGAGGACACAGCAAGAAGGUGGCUGUCUGCAAGCCAGAAAGAGAGCCCUCCCCAGAGACUGAACCAGCUAGAACCAUGAUCUUGGACUUCCAGCCUCCAGAACUGUUAUUCUAGGUCGACUUCCGUGUCUGGAUGUAACCAAAUCACCAGCCAGACCGUGACCAGGACACAUCAUACCGCUUGCCCCCGGCAGAGAUCCUGUGCCCACAUGUGAUAAGAUGCAACGAUCUCAUUCAAACUCUGUCUUGUCCUGCUAGUCCUGCUAGCCCUGCUAAACCACUUGAGCCCCUGGAGUCUCUUCCUCCCUGGAGCUUCUACAGCAUUCCUAUCUGGACCAUUCGCCAGGUGGUUAACACUGGAAACAAAAACUAUGUUGUUUGCUGGUUUGGAUUUCUUACAGCUCCCAGGAGACCACAAGCUACUUGGAGGUAGGACCAAGUGGUGUACAUAACGACCAGACAGCCACAAAGAGUCCCUUGCUCAGACAGGUGUUCAGCAACUCUUCCCAGAGCAAAACAUGCCUGUCUUGCCCACUGCGGAGUAACUGCAAGGCAGCGCACUGCUCCUCUGGGGUCUCAGACCCAAUGGCAGCCUUACAAGAAUAAACUCAAGCUGUUUUAAAAAAUAUUUUUAAACAGCAAACCUCUCCUCUCUAAAUGACAUUUAAUUGCUUCAAAGAUCAAGAGAAGGCAACUUCUUUGUGGCUGGGCGUGCAAACAACCUGCGUUCUUCAGGGCUCUGGGUAUGGGUUACAAGAUUCAUCGUGACUCAAUUCUCCAAUCCACUGAGUUUUGGAGGACACAGGCAGUGUGUCACUGCAGAUGGACUGCCAACCCCCAAUUAAACUGUUCUGGAUGGCUACUGGUGGUGACCUUCAGGUGACAUUGGUCAAGCCUCAAAGGAGUGUGGCCACCCAACCCUAGCAGAGUUUGAGUGUGCCAGGUGCUCAUUACUGAACCCACUUCUCAGUCUACAUCAAACAACCAUGCUGGCCAGAAAUGGUGUGCUGAGUUCUGACGAUACAGAAACACCACACUACUGAUGAUACAGGUGCAUACAUGAAACCUCCUGGUGGCAGGAAGACUCGUUCCUGAGGGCCUGAUGGCUCCCACACCGAGGAAUGCUCUGCCAGAGGCCAGUCCAUUUCAGGCACAGUUAUAACCCACUCCAUAAAGGUUGUGCCAGGGAGAAAAUUAUGACAGGACCUUGCUUGAAAGAAGAGGCAGUCACAAGGCCCCAUGGGGCUUACCUUCCAGGAUGGACUGGCCCUGGGUUUGGGAUUGCAUCAAUUUCAUUUCUGGCUCUCAUGAGUCGGAUUCCCUCUUUUCUCAGAGUAUGGAAGCCAGUGGAGCGUGGCAAAGGUGUCUGGCACCCUGUCUUUGCUGCUUCCUGUGAAAACGAGAUGGUCUGCCUGAAAUGAUACAUUGGCUGUUUCAUUUCUGGGCUCCCCUUGUGUCUUUUUUUUUUAAAGACAGAGACGGGGUCUCACUAUGUUGCCCAGGCUGUCCUCGAACUCCUACGCUCAAGGAAUCUUCCUGCCUCAGCCUCCCAAAGAGCAGGAUUAUGAACGUGAGCCAUUACGCCCAACUUCCCCUAAUCUCUUGUGCUUGGCAUAAUGCUGGUAUGCAGUAGGUGCUCAAUAAAUGCUGACUUGGGUGUAA